AGCUGCAGCCGGAGGUGUCGCGAGCCGCAUCCAGAGCCGCUGACGUGAGGACACUUGGGGGGGCGGGGGGACCUGCUCUGGUCUUUGGGGGGCAGGGCCCGGAGGGUGGGCUUGGCAGCUGGGCGAUAGGUUUAAAAAGCCCUUUAGGAUACCUGGCAGCAGUUCCAAAGGGUGAACUUACCACGGCCGGGUGGGCAGGGCCACUGCAGCGCCAGGCAGCUACAGGUUCGUUUGCCUGUGUUUUUAUCACCCAAGUCAGGACACGCCUGGUGGCUCGGUGACCGCUGCAGAGGGCCUCUAACUUAAGUCUUUGCUUCCCUCCGGAGGACAGCCUGAUGCUGAUUCAGCCCAUCCGCUGCUCCACUCGAGGCCUCUCAGAAAUUAUAGGGCCAGUGGGGGGCUGGGGGGCGGGUCCCCACAAGUAAAUUACAAAUUGAGCCAAAGACAUCAGGGUUCACGGUGGGCUUAACUUCCUCGGGUCUCACAGUUUCUCUGGCGGGAGGGCCUAGUGGGACUGUCUCCUCAUGUGUGAUUCGCGCUCCCGAGGAGUUAACGCCCAGACCUUCUCUUGCUUUUGAAAUAAAAAGAUUAAUGUAGCACAUUCACGGAAUGAAGCGAAUGGGGAUAUGGAUAUCUGAUUUCCAUUUCUCUUAAAAGACAAUCUUUAAACCAUUGCUUGGGAAGAAUUUAACAGGAAAAACUUUAAAAAAUUAAUUUGUAGUGGGGCUAUAAAGCAAACCACAUCUUAUAGAGUUUUCACACAUAUGGAAUAUAUAUUUUAUAUAUUUCAUUUAAAAAAUCCCACUAGUCAUUUCUCACAAAAAAUCAUUUAGCCUCCCCUCCCCCAAAUCAUCAUGAAGUUUGAGAAGCAUAAGGAUCAUGCAAAAGUUUGAGCUUCUUGUUUUGUUUCUUUGAAAAAAAUUAAUAAUUGAAAACUUGAGUGCAAAGGAUAAGAAAGUAUGAAAUGCUAAAGUUUUUUUAUGCAGUAAUCUUUAAUUAAGUAUAAAGACUUUUCUGAUCAUGUCACCCAUAGAUCAUUUUUAAAAUGCCAAAGUUUUGGUGGGUUUGGGUUUUUUGUUUGUUUUUUUUUGCUUUUUAGGGCCGCACCCUCAGCAUAUGGAGGUCCCCAGGCUAGGGGUCGAAUUAGAGCUGUAGCCUCCUGUCUAGGCUACAGCCACAGCAACGCAGGAUGGGAGGUGAGUCUGGGACCUACACCACGGCUCACAGCAACGCCAGAUCCUUAACCCACUGCAUGAGGCCAGGGAUCAAACCCAGGUCCUCAUGGAUACCAGUCAGGUUCAUUACCACUGAGCCACAACAGGACCUCCAAAAUGCUAAAGAUUUUAAUACAUCUGAACUCCUCUUCUAUUCGCAUGUGAUGUGAUAUACCUGAUUUUUUGGGACUUUUCAGCGAACAAAUUAUACUGAUUAUAAAUAGAGUGAAUUCAGCAAAGACCAAGCCAAGGCAAAACCCUCAGUCCCCUUUUCUUUGGAAAUCAGAUAUAAAUAAAAAUUUAAAUAUCAAAUCCCAAUUUAUUUUUAAGACGUAAACGACAUUCAACACAGGAGUGGUUUCUCAGAAUUAGACAAUUCUUUUAUUUAUUUUUAACUACGACAAUGCAAAGAUUGUUUAAUAAUUAGAACUCAAGGCCAAACGUCGGUAAACUUCUCUGGCUGUGUGGCUCAGCUUUGUGAAACAGUUGACAAGCAGUCCUUUGUACACUGCCUCAUUCCCAGGGUACCAGCUGUUUCCUUAGGUCGCAGGCCAUGGUGCAAGGGACAUGAGGGGCGACAGAAGCUUCCUACUGGAUGAGCGCAGAGAGCGCCAGCGAUCCUGGUCGCUGGAGGCAGCGCCUCCGUGAAUACAAAGCGCCUGGCUGCGGCCCAGCCUCCGGCCCCACUUGCUGGCCUCAGAGCCGUCGGAGGAGGCCAUUUUCCUCCUCCAGGGCCCAAGAAUCAAAGAGACAUGAGGCAGGUUAGCAGGAAAAACCCAAACCAAGUUUAGUAACAUGCAUACCUGGGAAAGACCCAGGAAAACCCAGCAACUCCUCAAAACGGCCCAAACCCUCGCCCCAAGUACCAUCAACAGCUAAGGACAAAGGAGGGCGUCCGGGGAGCGUGGCUUUGGACGAGGCGGGGGAGGAAGGCCGUUCUGACCGCGAUGGAGAAGCAAAGUUUUGGUAAAGCGACUGUUCGCGCUGCCGCGCAGAGGAGGGCCAGAGGGGGCCAGGUGCCUGCGAGUCCUCACCCGGCGGCCUGCUCGGCUGCAUCUCUUGUGAGCACGUCCCGAAACUGGCCCUCCAUCUAGAUUCUGAUUCAGGCAGCUACGGCGGAUGCCAGAGCUUCUUCCUGAGUCUUCUGGGCUUGUUUGUUUUCGGCUCAAAAUAAUCCUGUACCAAAGAGACAUUUUGGGGAGGCAAGCUUCACUGCACAGCCCUGUUUUCAUCAGACAGCCGGCAAUACAGGUUUGUUUUUGGAAGGUCAAGUAACUUUCCUUGAUCCUUUUCAGAAAAUUCUGUGGCAAUGCCACCAUAUUUACUUUUCCAGUUGAAUUUUACAGCUGUUUUUUGGUCGUGUUCUUCACCCAUCAAAAAAAUGCCAUCGGCAGAGACUGCUUGCGGGCCCGCUUGCAUCUCGCCCGAGUGUCCUGUCUUAAUAAAUCGAUUUCUUGCCUAUCAAAAAAAUUGCCAUCAAUAUUUGUAUUAAAAAAGUUUUUUUAAAAAUGAGUCACAUUUAUAUAUUCAUCCAAAGGAAAGUAAGUUCCUCCAUUUUGUGAUCUUAGUAUCUUUUGGAAGGUCCUGCACUUUUCUUGCCAAACUCAUCCUUGGAAAUAUGUGUAUGUUGCUGUGGAAAUAGGACUUUUCCACUGUUUUCUCAUCUUUAUUGUGAGAAUUAGGACGCUGUGGACUCCAUAGUUCAGAUCAACGACCUCUUCCAGACCAAUUCCAACAGCGUCUCCCCUUCACUGCUCGGCCUCUGUAUUUUGCCUGAAAUGUCUAUUGGCCGAAUUCAGCCAGCAGCCCAAUGGCAGGAGAACAGAGGACGGAGAAGGGAGAGGGAGGGGGCCCAGGGGGCGGGAGACUCAAACAACUCCAAGCCUGAAAGGAAGGGAGCCAGGGCUGAGGGCGGCACGGGCGACACCUGGACCUCUCUGCCCUAGGAGGACCCGGGAUGUCGGAGCUGGAGAAGGCCGUGGUGGCCCUGAUUGACGUCUUCCAUCAGUAUUCUGGGAGGGAGGGGGACAAGCACAAGCUGAAGAAAUCCGAACUCAAGGAGCUCAUCAACAGCGAGCUUUCCCACUUCCUGGAGGAAAUCAAAGAGCAGGAGGUCGUGGACAAAGUCAUGGAGACACUGGACAGCGAUGGAGAUGGCGAGUGUGACUUCCAGGAAUUCAUGGCUUUUGUCGCCAUGGUUACCACUGCCUGCCACGAGUUCUUUGAACACGAGUGAACUGGAGAAAACCGACACGCAGUUCCUGCAGCGGAGACGUGCGCGUCGUGCAGGGCAGUGGAGGCAGGGCUUUGGCAGGACAGUAGGCGCUGAGCUUUCCGGCUGUGUUGUAGCUAAUUAGGAAGCUUGAUUUGCUUUGUGAAUGGAAAAUUUAAACCUCUUUCCAGGGGCAGUUUUUAGUGGCCCCCGUCAUUGCUCCUGCAAUAGUAAGCAUACAGUUAGCUGACUGGUCCCAGGACUGCUGGUAAUCUUCAUUUAGGAAAGUCAGUUCUCGGUCACGAAGCGUGUGCUCUCCUAGCUGUGUAGACCCUUAGCCCAGAAAAAACAAACUGACCAGGAGCAUUGGGGUUUUCUUAAGCUUCCACUACAUUUAAAAAUACGAAGCCUUGUCCACUAUCCUUCGCAAAGGCUGCCCUUCGUUAAAUCUGUUCCUCACUGGGGCAAAUGAGACCUAUCAUGGGAGGGUGGCCUGACCAUCUGUGCCACCCACCCAAAGAGCGCGGCCACAUCUAGAUCCCUUCCCUGCGGUGUGCUGUGAUUGUCGCGCAUGUGAUGCUGCCAGUUCUGGGUGGAACAUCUGCCUCAGAAAGCAAGUGCUGACAUUAUCACUGUGAUUGGAACUGAGAAUGGAAAUUCUACCCUCGGUGGGGUUCUCCUCAGAGGAACACUCGCUGCCAGAUCUGGGGGGGCCACGUGGCUCAGGUGGCACGAGCGGGAGCAGGGGAGCUCAGGUGGGUCUCACGCUGCCUUGGAGACAGCUGUGCCCACCUCCUGCCCAGUCUGUAGAAGGAGGGCUUCCGGAAGAUGUGUCUGGUCCGCUGGAGAAGGUCGUUCCUGACCUGUGGAAUGUGAAGCCAGGGAGCCUAUUUAUGGCCUUUAUGCUUCUGUGUCCACAAAUUCAAAUACAUCAAGUUUCAAAUCAAAUAGUCAAGUUGCAAAUGCUAGAAAUCACUUCCAAGAAAAUUCAAAUUACGCUUUCCACCCUUUUUCUGAUUUGCUGUUUUUAAGGACAGACUUGGGAGAUUCACGAACCAAUUGAUCGCUUGUAUUUGCAUUAAAUAAAAAGCAUUGUAA
rnacentral:lncRNA from 9 species